AAUAUUUCUGAUCUUGCUGCCUAGCCAUACCAUAGAAAUUUAUAUUUAGGAAUUUAAAUAUGUUAAGCUACUCGAAUUCAACUUUAAAAAAUAUAUAUAUAUUUGAGUAUUUUGAAUAUUUCAUCAAACUGAGUUCGAGCUUUAAUUAAAAAAAAAGUUGAUCGAGUCGAAUCAAGUUUUGAACUUUUUAGCUUAAGAUUUGAGUCGAGCUCAAGUUUGACACUUUAUUGAUUCGAUUACUCCCUUAUUUAUAUUAUACACAAUAAUAAUGUAUAUUAUAUUAUCCUUCCAUUGUCAAGAACUCAAAUUAAAGAAAGAAAGAAAGAAAGAAA
rnacentral:misc_RNA from 1 species